GCGCUCACUUCGGCAGCACAUGUGCUAAAAUUGGAACGAUACAGAGAUUAGCAAGGCCCCUGCACAAGGAUGACACGCAAAUUUGUAAAGUGUUCCAUGUUUUU